UACAGAGGGGGCAAGCGUUGUUCGGAAUUACUGGGCGUAAAGGGCGCGUAGGCGGCCUUCUAAGUCGAACGUGAAAUCCCCGGGCUCAACCCGGGGACUGCGUCCGAUACUGGAAGGCUUGAAUCCGGGAGAGGGAUGCGGAAUUCCAGGUGUAGCGGUGAAAUGCGUAGAUAUCUGGAGGAACACCGGUGGCGAAGGCGAUUUUCUAGCUUAUACCUGACGCUGAGGCGCGAAAGCAAGGGGAUCAAACAGG
rnacentral:rRNA from 1 species